rnacentral:lncRNA from 1 species
CAGGAAGUAAACACAUCGGUUUCCCUCUCCUGGUCCCUGAACUUUGCGCACGAUGUGGUCAAGUGGAGAGAGGUUUCUGGCAGUCCCAGCGGCCCAUGGUCAGGCUGGCCUGUAUCCCUUUCUCUUUACCCCUUGGGAUUUCCCAGCUUCCUUAUCAACCCUCAAUCACUUUGGGAGGGAGUGAGCCAGCGUUCCCCCUUCCUUCGAAAAGAAGCCACACACACAAAGACUUAGACACGAAUGUUCACAGCAACAUUAUUCAUAAGGGUUCCUCCCCCAAAGGAAACAACCCAAAUAUCCAUCAAACAAACGGUCAAUGAACAAGCAAACAGUGGCACAUGGAUGCAGCGGAAUGCUGUGCAGCGUCAAAAAGGAAAAACCCUCUAACAGACAUACCACAAUGGAUAUCACAAACAUGCUAAGUGAAAGAAGCCAGAC